AUUGAACGCUGGCGGCAGGCCUAACACAUGCAAGUCGAGCGGAUGAAGGGAGCUUGCUCCUGGAUUCAGCGGCGGACGGGUGAGUAAUGCCUAGGAAUCUGCCUGGUAGUGGGGGAUAACGUCCGGAAACGGGCGCUAAUACCGCAUACGUCCUGAGGGAGAAAGUGGGGGAUCUUCGGACCUCACGCUAUCAGAUGAGCCUAGGUCGGAUUAGCUAGUUGGUGGGGUAAAGGCCUACCAAGGCGACGAUCCGUAACUGAUCUGAGUGGAUGAUCAGUCACACUGGAACUGAGACACGGUCCAGACUCCUACGGGAGGCAGCAGUGGGGAAUAUUGGACAAUGGGCGAAAGCCUGAUCCAGCCAUGCCGCGUGUGUGAAGAAGGUCUUCGGAUUGUAAAGCACUUUAAGUUGGGAGGAAGGGCAGUAAGUUAAUACCUUGCUGUUUUGACGUUACCAACAGAAUAAGCACCGGCUAACUUCGUG
rnacentral:rRNA from 1 species